rnacentral:rRNA from 1 species
UACGGGGGGGGGGCAAGCGUUUGUUCGGAAUUACUGGGCGUAAAGGGCUCGUAGGCGGCCAACUAAGUCAGACGUGAAAUCCCUCGGCUUAACCGGGGAACUGCGUCUGAUACUGGAUGGCUUGAGGUUGGGAGAGGGAUGCGGAAUUCCAGGUGUAGCGGUGAAAUGCGUAGAUAUCUGGAGGAACACCGGUGGCGAAGGCGGCAUCCUGGACCAAUUCUGACGCUGAGGAGCGAAAGCCAGGGGAGCAAACGGG